rnacentral:misc_RNA from 1 species
CAGCAGCGUCCUCCCAGUCGAUGGUUGGCAGUCCUAAGCUAGUGUUAGCAUUGAUGUAGUGAAGUACGUAUUAUUUUUCUCUUCUUUCCAACAAGGCGGCCUGAGUGUCGUGAUGAAGACCAGGUGACAGGAUGGUUUGCCAGGGUAAUGCACACAACGCUGCUCUGAUUCCAGCUUAUGCGACUGAACUGUUCUUCCAUAUGUGAAAAUAUACCAGAGUGAUAUAUUGGAAAAACAAAUGUGGUGCAGAAAGACUACUAGGUUAACUGACAUGAAAUUCUGAAAAAGAGGGAACAAAGGUACGUACAUGUUGAGACGCCUAUGUCACAAGUAUCUCAGGAAAUGAUGGAAGAGAGCAAGGGUGUCAGGAUUGGUGACAGCCCAAACUGUUACUGUCCUCCACAGCUCUGUGUGUGGCAGUUAUCAUGCCGCCACUGCCACUUCAACUGCCGCUGUGGCACAUGUCAUUGCUACCACUACCAAUAUCAGCGCCGCAACCACAACCACCACUACCAACAUCAAUAGCAACAACAAUAAUAACAGCAUCCACUUUCAUCCAAACGAGCUAAGGGGACACGCCUUAGGGCUGCACUCUGUACCUUGACGGAGCACGUGCGGCGUGUGGAGAGGCCACAGCUGACGUAGAUGAAAUGUGAGACGUAUAAUUUUCAAGAAGCAUCUGCUUGUGAGAGAAGGAAGAUGAAAGACGAAGGAAAUGUAUGUGUAAUAUUUAUUUACUUAUUAGUUAUUUCUAUUUGUCUAAUUGAUUUCCUUAUGUAAAUAUGUGCAUGUAAAUGUGAGUAUAUCUCUUGUUAAAUCCUUAGCUUGUUUGUAAUUCUAAUUAUAAUUGUAAUUGCAUCAUUCACAAGCCGAUUUCCUUCAGUUUACUCCUCCACAGCAAAGUCGAUGCAAACACUUCUUUGAUCGCUGAAAGAAAUAUAGUGCAUUCUUCAUCCAGCAAUACUGUGAAAUCUAUACAAAAAGCGUGACAGUUGCUGAAAAAAAGG